CGCGUGGGUGACCUGCCCCGAAGUGUGGGAUAACAGUCCGAAAGGAUUGCUAAUACUGCAUAAUAUCCAAGAGAUUAGAUGCUUUUGGAUUAAAGGAGUAAUUCGCUUCGGGAGGGGCCCGCGUCCCAUCAGCUAGUUGGUAAGGUAAUGGCUUACCAAGGCGAUGACGGGUAGGGGACCUGAGAGGGUGGCCCCCCACAAUGGAACCGAAACACGGUCCAUACACCUACGGGUGGCAGCAGUAGGGAAUAUUAGUAAUGGGCGAAAGCCUGAACUAGCAACGCCGCGUGUGCGAAGAAGGCCUUCGGGUUGUAAAGCACUUUUUGAGAGGAUGAGGAAGGACGGUACUCUCAGAAUAAGUCUCGGCUAACUACGUG
rnacentral:rRNA from 1 species